ensembl:lncRNA
CUUAAACUCACAGUGAAGUGGCCUAAAAAAACAGUGGUGGAAAAAAAGGGAAGAAAGUAAAAUGCUCUGCUAUACCAAAAAUGGAUCAAUCUACUGCCUGAAUCUUUUAGUGCAAGUGUUGGCUAUGCAGAUACCUUUCUCCAUUCUUCAGUUUUUCUUCUAUAUACAUACACUUUUAAAGUCCAACUUUUCUUAAGAAUAAAAUGUCUAUCAAUGUUUUUUAAAGGCCCUAAGAUAAAAACAACUGUAUGAAUUAAGAAGGGACAAAUCAUCAUAUAGAGGAUAUACAAGGAUAAAACACUGAAACAAUCAAACUUAAAACAGCUGCUUAAAUACAAAAGGAAAUGUCAGAUUUAUCUAGUAAUUAUAUGUCCUUCACUCUGUAUUAUAUUGUUUGUCUUCUCAGGAUGAGAUUUAACUCACUCAGAAUCUUCGCCAUUCUGAUUUCUAGGGACUAUUCAGGGACUUUUCAGAAGAAUCCUUGAGGGAAAGAAAAAGCAUGUGUGCAUGUUGUAAUGGAUCAUAUCUGAAAAGUGAAAGCACUAAACAACAUGAAUUUUUGUCAAACUACGAGAGACAAAGAUGCUGCUGGAGUGUUAUUUCCACAGUUAAGAAGAAAAGAGAGAUCUGGAAGGAAUAAAG